GCUCUUUUCAAUCGGAUUUAGGCUUCCUAUAUCGAUCCUGCCGGGUUCGCCCGGCUAUGACGAUAAAUUGCGACGUAGAAUAGAUGCAGCGGACCCGGGGGCAGUACCCGGCGGCUCCACCAAAACCCCCGGCGACGGGGAUUCUGACGGGGCCGAACCAGGAUCGACGUGUAUUGAAAGGCGUUGUUUUCGUUCGGAAUGGGACCACCGCGACGGCCCAUACACACAAGUGCCAACGAUAACGAAGCACUCGCUAUUGCGGCGUAACCCCAAGGCCUAACGGCUUAAGGUUAUUCUGAAAUGCGCGGUUGGACCGCACCGGGCAACAGAAGCGGAUUCCAGCGGUACGGGAGGCACCGGGCAACAGAAGCCUCCCACU
rnacentral:tmRNA from 1 species